rnacentral:lncRNA from 10 species
CCACAACUCCCGCAGGAAAGCCUAAGGAAUAAUGCCCAUGGAGGACUGUAAUAAAGGCAUAGUCCCACAGAGUCUCUCUCUUUCUCUGUCUCUUGACCCCCACUCGCUGGCUGAGCUCCCUGUCACCUGAACUUCCCAUAGGCCUCCUGUUGGCACUCUUAUCUCUGGGACAUGAUCCCUUCGUUUGAGGUAGGAUAUGGAAUCGCAUCCACUCUGAUUUGUUGCCAGCAGUGUUCUCCAACUUAAUUAUCCUCUGUGAUCCACACUAAAGUAUUUUGAAGAAUAACAAAGCUCUCCAAGGGUCUUAAUACAGCUGCCUCGGCAACAUGGCCUCAUGGUUUUUGGAUUUAAUGGGAGAGCUGGUGUCAACAACUUUUUCAAUCCAGAUGCUCUGUGAUCUGUGUGCUUUGAAGGAAAGGAGAGGAAGUGCUGUGUGUUUCAACUGAAGGACUCUAUUGGUAAUUCUUUGAUAUCCAGGUAAUACUCUCAAAAUCUGCCAUGUAACUCCACAUUGACAUUAGUUUCCUGGCUUCAAGAGGGGACUGAGAAGGAGCUGCAGUAUUACUGGUGAGCACUGGUGAUGGAAAAAGUGCAGGGCCCACAGCUCAGGACAACGGAGGCCAGCCAAGCAAUAAAGUCAGAGAAAAACCUCACAGUGACAACUCUGAGUAAUCGGGAGGCAAAUGCAAGCUCUACUUUUGUACUUAAACAAGUAUUUUUGAAGAGCUCAGAGCUAGCAUGGUUUAGGUAUUUGGAUUGAAAUGUCAAUAUUAAUGGGACUUCAUUGAUAGAUUUGAGGAAUAUUGGGUCACCUGACUAAAACCACAGUGACCAAUCUUUGUUUAUCAUUGUCCCCCUGCACAAUAUUUCUAAUUGUUUUCUUAAAGCUAGAUCCCCAGAUGAUGAGUUACCCAGUUUUUCAAUUUGGGUUUGCCCCCCAAACAAACCCUAAGGCAAGUAUUUGUGUGCAAGGAGUUUAUUUGGAAGAUCCCAGCAUGCCCAAGUGAGGAAUUGGAAAAACUGAAAUGGAGAAAAAAGAAAAACCAAUGAAAGGUGCUUUAAUAAGUGGAUUACUCCCAUGGGCAACAGGGACUGAAACCUACUAGGGACACUUUGAGAAACCAUAUGCAACACACUCAGAAUCAGUCUACAAAGAUUGGCAAGCUGAGGCAUUGAUAUAUUUGUUAGUAUCUCCUUUCUUUGGAGGUUGCUUCAGGUUUAUUAACUCCAGAAAAUGGCUACUUGUGGCUGAGCAGAAUGAUAAGAGAGGUGAUACAUUUGAGAUGUAAACUUGUCAGAGGGCUGAAAAUUCUAUGUGACCAUUACCAAAGCACACAAGUGGGAUGAGGGGUAAGGGAUGGAGCAUUGGCAGCAUCAGCUACACUGAGUUUACCAUGUCUGUAUUUCAAUAUACUGUUCUUGUGAAUAUGUGCCAUAUAUUUAGGAUUGUUAUUCUUUUGCUUUCUUUCAACUAGGAAUCACAAAGUAUCUAGAUAUAUAAGAUAGACAAUACCUCUAAAGCUUUUUUCAAUCUCUGUGUCAUAGUUCUGUUAAGCAACCAAAGCAUGUGGGCCAUUCUACUUUGAAGGUCUGCUGGAAUGUGUAUUUCUCCUUGGAAAGAAUAAAUAUUGAGGCACAAAGAGGCUUGAAAUGUGGAAGAGGAAUGUGCUACCAUAGCAGCCUCACUCUGAGGGUGGCCUAAAUUGACUUGGCAUUUUGGCUCAUAGCUUUGAAAAUUCCCUUUAUUUCUACCCCAAAUUCAAGUUGUCGGAUGUCAGUACCCAUUUAUGUAUAUAGCGUUUUGUUUUCACUUUCCAGUUCUCCCUCAUUCUACUUGUAAUAAAUCAAC